AGCUGCUGCUUUCAUGUGGUAAUGCGUACAUUGGCCAGAAGAGUUGAUGCAUCCUCCUUAUGGAGCAUGGUAGCUCCUCAAAAGGUGAACUACCUGUCAAGCCAUUGUCGUUCUUGCGGUAGUCCACUGGAUUUCACAAAGAUGAGCGUCGUUAUUAUAUAAAAAGAGUAGCUGAGUCUUAACAUAUCCAGAUGCAUGCACAGGAGUGCGGAAGUCAACCAUCUGUUUACCUCAGGUUGAAUGUGCAAAC
rnacentral:lncRNA from 1 species